rnacentral:lncRNA from 1 species
CAAACGAAUUAAUUCGGGGAUCAUGUCUAUAAAAUUUUUGUAAUGGACAAUUUCUUAUAUAUUCCUUAAAAAUUUUCAACUUUCUGAUUUAACCAUCUUAGAAAGCUAAUAUUAAAAAUACUUUUUUUACGUUUUAACUUAUUUCAGAUAUAUCCCUAGAGUUAAAAUCUGUUAAUAAACUCUGUUAUCUGUAUAAAAUUACUAUUUUAUCCUUUCAAAUAUACACUUCCACCAUCAUCGGGCCUUAAGACUUCGUUUGGAAUUGCGGGGAGAUUACGUUACGUGCAGUGAGGUAGUCUCGCCUCCUUGGCCUUCGUGGCAUGCGAUGUCGCGAAACCCGGACCUCGACGCUAGAGGCGUGCGGAUUGAGUCGCGGGGGCGAAACGCGUGGGAGGCGAGACGCUUGGCUAUACUCAUAUUGUACAAGUUGGGGGAGAACUUGUAAUGUCCUUGGGCUGGCGACGAAGGCAGCAAGGCAUUCGGUUAUGAGGCACUCUCGAGGAGAGAUCGGUUGGCAAGACGGGAGACACCUAGCUUGGUGGCCAACCUCGGUAUUGGGGUUGCUCGUUGGGGACUCGAGGAGUCCGACGAGGGGUUCGAUUACAGGCNAAAUUACUAUUUUGUCCUUUCAAAUAUACACUUCCACCAUCAUCGGGCCUUAAGACUUCGUUUGGAAUUGCGGGAAGAUUACGUUACGUGCGGUGAGGUACGUUGAAAAAAUAUCCUGUUUGUUUCCGUACUUGCAUGUCGGUUACGAUAUAUAUUCUGCGGUUUCACUGGAAAACGCAGAAGCAUAUCCCUAUAUGCUUUUUACUUUUUUUUCUCAACUCCAUUUUAUCUAAUAGCGUUAACUAGGCCUCAAUACCAAGCUAAGCCUAAGUCAAGGGCACAAAAGAUAUUUUGACUUUUGAUCUUUUUUAAAUAUAUCCCUCUACCGUCAGCAACAUUUCUUAUUUGCCCUUAGAUUAAGGACAAAAUUGACAUUUUAAUUUUUUUUAACUAUAAUAGAUAUUUAACUAUUUUAGAAUAACGGAGGAACAUAUAAAAAAUAUAUUGAAAAAAAUAAAAAUAAAAAUAAAUGAUAUAUUUUUAAAGUUUUAAAAAAUAUAUAAUUU